rnacentral:rRNA from 1 species
AUUGAACGCUGGCGGUAUGCUCAACACAUGCAAGUCGAACGGUAGCAGGCCUUCGGGCGCUGACGAGUGGCGGACGGGUGAGUAAUACAUCGGAACGUGCCCAGUAGUGGGGGAUAGCCCGGCGAAAGCCGGAUUAAUACCGCAUACGACCUACGGGUGAAAGCAGGGGAUCGCAAGACCUUGCGCUAUUGGAGCGGCCGAUGUCAGAUUAGGUUGUUGGUGGGGUAAAAGCCCACCAAGCCGACGAUCGGUAGCUGGUCUGAGAGGACGACCAGCCACACUGGGACUGAGACACGGCCCAGACUCCUACGGGAGGCAGCAGUGGGGAAUUUUGGACAAUGGGCGAAAGCCUGAUCCAGCCAUGCCGCGUGCGGGAAGAAGGCCUUCGGGUUGUAAACCGCUUUUGUCAGGGAAGAAACGCCUCGGGUUAAUACCCUGGGGUAAUGACGGUACCUGAAGAAUAAGCACCGGCUAACUACGUGCCAGCCGCCGCCGUAAUAC